AAUGUGGGUAUCUGCCUUUUGGUUUGGAAUAACAUGAGGAAACUUGUGCUAAUACCGAAUAAGCCCUUACGGGGAAAGUUUUAACGCCGAAAGAUGAGCUCGCACUUGAUUAGCUAGUUGGUAGGGUAAAAGCCUACCAAGGCUACGAUCAAUAGCUGAUUUGAGAGGAUGAUCAGCCACAUUGGGACUGAGACACGGCCCAGACUCCUACGGGAGGCAGCAGUGGGGAAUCUUGCACAAUGGGGGAAACCCUGAUGCAGCGAUGCCGCGUGAGUGAAGAAGGCCUUUGGGUUGUAAAGCUCUUUCGUCGGGGAAGAAAAUGACUGUACCCGAAUAAGAAGGUCCGGCUAACUUCGUGCCAGCAGCCGCGGUAAUACGAAGGGACCUAGCGUAGUUCGGAAUUACUGGGCUUAAAGGGCUCGUAGGUGGUUAGAAAAGUUGGUGGUGAAAUCCCAAGGCUUAACCUUGGAACUGCCAUCAAAACUUUUUAACUAGAGUAUGAUAGAGGAAAGUGGAAUUUCUAGUGUAGAGGUGAAAUUCGUAGAUAUUAGAAAGAACACCGAUUGCGAA
rnacentral:rRNA from 1 species